rnacentral:rRNA from 1 species
CCCUUAGAUGUUCUGGGCCGCACGCGCGCUACACUGACGAAUUCAACGAGUUUAUAACCUUUGCUGGGAGGCAUGGGUAAUCUUGUGAACGUUCGUCGUGAUGGGGAUAGAUUAUUGCAAUUGUUAAUCUUCAACGAGGAAUUCCUAGUAAACGCAAGUCAUCAGCUUGCAUUGAUUACGUCCCUGCCCUUUGUACACACCGCCCGUCGCACCUACCGAUUGAAUGGUCCGGUGAAUUCUUCGGACUGCGGCUUUGACUCGAUUUCGGUCGAGGCGUUGCUGCGGGAAGUUGAUUAAACCUUACCAUCUAGAGGAAGGUGAAGUCGUAACA